rnacentral:lncRNA from 1 species
CAGCUUUCCCUUGUCCGACCAGCCACCACGUCCUGUAACCAAAAUUAACCGGGAUGAAUGUCUGGCUCCU